UACGGAGGGGGCUAGCGUUGUUCGGAAUUACUGGGCGUAAAGCGCACGUAGGCGGCUUUGUAAGUUAGAGGUGAAAGCCCAGGGCUUAACCCUGGAAUUGCCUUUAAGACUGCAUCGCUAGAAUCGUGGAGAGGUAAGUGGAAUUCCGAGUGUAGAGGUGAAAUUCGUAGAUAUUCGGAAGAACACCAGUGGCGAAGGCGACUUACUGGACACGUAUUGACGCUGAGGUGCGAAAGCGUGGGGAGCAAACAG
rnacentral:rRNA from 1 species